UACAGAGGUCUCAAGCGUUGUUCGGAUUCAUUGGGCGUAAAGGGUGCGUAGGCGGGCGAUCAAGUCAGGGGUGAAAGCCUCCAGCUCAACUGGAGAAGUGCCUUUGAUACUGGUUGUCUCGAGGGAGGUAGGGGCGUGCGGAACUUCCGGUGGAGCGGUGAAAUGCGUAGAUAUCGGAAGGAACACCAGUGGCGAAAGCGGCGCGCUGGACCUCUUCUGACGCUGAGGCACGAAAGCCAGGGGAGCAAACGGG
rnacentral:rRNA from 1 species